rnacentral:rRNA from 1 species
CCUACGGGGGGCAGCAGUCGAGAAUCAUUCACAAUGGGGGAAACCCUGAUGGUGCGACGCCGCGUGGGGGAAUGAAGGUCUUCGGAUUGUAAACCCCUGUCAUGUGGGAGCAAAUUAAAAAGAUAGUACCACAAGAGGAAGAGACGGCUAACUCUUUGCCAGCAGCCGCGGUAAUACAGAGGUCUCAAGCGUUGUUCGGAAUCACUGGGCGUAAAGCGUGCGGUGGCGGUUUCGUAAGUCGUGUGUGAAAGGCGCGGGCUCAACCCGCGGACGGCACAUGAUACUGCGAGACUAGAGUAAGGGAGGGGGAACCGGAAUUCGCGGUGUAGCAGUGAAAUGCGUAGAUAUCGAGAGGAACACUCGUGGCGAAGGCGGGUUCCUGGACAUUAACUGACGCUGAGGCACGAAGGCCAGGGGAGCGAAAGGGAUUAGAUACCCUGGUAGUC